UAGAGAUUGUGGAGGAACUUCUUUGGACCAUCGAGAAGCGGGGAAAGAAGUACCAAGAAGAUAUUUCUCGGUUAAAAGCUGAGAAAGUAAAGUCGGACGAUGAGAUCAGCAAUCUUAAGGGGUUGAUUGCUGAUGUGAAGAAGGAUGUAAGCUUGGACGAAGUAACUAUAAAUGAGGCCGAGCAGAAACAGAACGAGGCCGAGCAAAAAUAGGAGGCCGAGCAGGCUACGCAGGGAGCAGAAGAGAAAGCUGUUGUAGUAGAUACUCGGGCUCAAGAGGCAGUUGCACGAGCACUAGCUGAUUAUAAGACUUCCCAGACUUAUGAAGAUGACCUUGCCAACGGGUUAGCUACAACAUACCAAGUCGGCUUUGGGGAUUGCAAGGAGAUGAUUUCUUGGCUACAUCCUAAGAUUGACUUGAGUGGGGUGUAGUCGCCUGAAGAGGGAGAAGAAGAUGUUGCUGCUAUGUAGAUCUUUAGGCUUUUCGCUUUUGCUUAUUUUUGUAUUCGAUUUAUAACUGAAAAUGUAAAAACUUUUGCAGUAAUGAAAUGAACUCCUUCUUUUAUCUCAUAUCUUGACUUCUAUUUUUGCUUUCGAAAUUUUCGAGUAAUAUUGUUGCCAAUAGAUAGUCGUCUCUACUCAAUAAUGUUAAGAUAAUGGUAUGAUAAUCAUCAGGAAUAAACUUUCUCGAUAAACAACCGAUUAUCAUCUAGAGAUGAAAAUAUUCCAAGUAUCUUCCUCUGAAGAUAAUGCGUAAUAGUUGAAAGAUUCAUCGAGAAGUCAUGUCGAUUUUUGAUGGAG
rnacentral:lncRNA from 1 species